rnacentral:rRNA from 1 species
CAGUAGCCACGGGAAUACGAAGGGGGCUAGCGUUGCUCGGAAUGACUGGGCGUAAAGGGCGCGUAGGCGGUUCGUACAGUUGGAUGUGAAAUUCCUGGGCUUAACCUGGGGGCUGCAUUCAAUACGCGCGGGCUUGAGUGUGGAAGAGGGUUGUGGAAUUCCCAGUGCAGAGGUGAAAUUCGUAGAUAUUGGGAAGAACACCGGUGGCGAAGGCGGCAACCUGGUCCAUAACUGACGCUGAGGCGCGAAAGCGUGGGGAGCAAACAGGAUUAGAUACCCGUGUAGUCCCUGUCUCUUAUAC